CGGUGCCAUGCUAGGAUUAAGGGUGUGAGUUCUGCCCACUCCAAGGGACAGUAGCCUGGGGUAGAUAAAGAGGGCAGAAAGCUCUUCUUGGGGUUGGUCGCUUGUGGCAUAUUGUUGCUGCCAUUUGUCUUCUGUUCGAGACGCUCUCUGCCGUGUACCACCCUGCCUUGGAGCCAGCCGAUUAUGGACUGAAACCUCUACACACUGUUCUUGGCUACCUGAAGGAAGACUUGGAUGUGAAUGAAGAAUUUAUAUGAUCUUGUUAGCUCUGUUGUGUCCUUAUAUAUGCAAUGAUACUCUUGAUGAAGACAUUUCUACAGUUCCAUGUUACUGCAGGAAAAUGGGUAUAUGGUUUGCUGUGUACUCAAGUGUUGGAACAGUAUUCAGUGAUGAAAAGAAAAGAACAACUGAGGCACACAAAAACCUGGACGAAUCACAAAAGCUUUGUGCUAAGUGGAAGAAGUUAGACACAAACAACUGUAUAUGUUGAAACCCCACCACCACCACAAAAUGGGGAGAGAGAAAAGAGUUGAAGGAGUAGUACGACUUCUACAGAAGGUAAUACCAACGAGAAAGAAGCUGAUGUCCCUGCAGACCUAGAGAAAGACUCAGGAAUCGGAGACCCACAAUACUUUGAAAGACGGUCAAAGAAAGGGGCAAAACACAGUGGUUUCAUUGGAAAUCUGUUUUAAGAGAAGUUAGAUACCCAGUGCUUCACCCCUCCCACACAACCGGGCCACUUUUCUUCCUCUUCCACUACGAACUGUGAGAGGUAAU